CAGAGGAGCUGAGGCGGCUCCAGCCUGGAAAGCCCCAGGCUACAGCCUAUCAGAAGGUCAACAGAGGAAAGAACAAGGAGAACAAAGCCCAUAGCCAACAGAGGAAUAUAAGAGAAGCAUACAUCAAACAAAACCCCCAUCAGAGCAGAGAGCAAACUUCACUACAAACACAGAGACUCUCACUCUUUCUGCAAACUUGAAUUGGAACAGACUUCUCACGCACAACUCCACGACAGACUUCCAUGUGGCCCAGAACAAAUCACUUAGCGUUUCCGCAUCACAGCUGACAUGAAAAACUGAAUAUGUUUUUAUAUUUCACUUCUGGGCAUCUUUACUCAAGAUAUAGCCUCGGUCCUGCAAUCAGAUCUACCAGCAUGGAUCACUGUGCCCACCCAAGUCCCAUUGGAGGAGAAGAGCCUUAUAUCUAAACAUCCAUUUUGUGCCUUAUACCUGUAGUAUGUUUCAUCAUCCCCAUUGAUAAAAGCCUGAA